rnacentral:misc_RNA from 1 species
ACUUAAUCUGUAGUUUUUUUCUUUGAAAACAAAUUUAGCUUAGCUCAAAAGCAAAUUGGAUGAUUCUGAUUUAAUUUCAAUCUGAUUUAUUCACGAAUUUAUUAAUUUUGGUCCAAUUUCUUGAUUCAAUUUCAAUUUUGAAUCGGUCCAUGGCCAGAUCAAUGCGAAGGUGAUUACAAGUUAUUGUCUCAUGUCAUAUGAGGAGAG